UACGUAGGGACCAAGCGUUGUUCGGAUUUACUGGGCGUAAAGGGCGCGUAGGCGGCGCGGUAAGUCACUUGUGAAAUCUCUGAGCUUAACUCAGAACGGCCAAGUGAUACUGCAGUGCUAGAGUGUGGAAGGGGCAAUCGGAAUUCCUGGUGUAGCGGUGAAAUGCGCAGAUAUCAGGAGGAACACCGGUGGCGAAGGCGGGUCUCUGGGAAGUAACUGACGCUGAGAAGCGAAAGCGUGGGUAGCGAACAGG
rnacentral:rRNA from 1 species